rnacentral:rRNA from 1 species
UACGUAGGGUGCGAGCGUUGUCCGGAAUUAUUGGGCGUAAAGAGCUUGUAGGCGGUUUGUCGCGUCGGCCGUGAAAAUCUCCACGCUUAACGUGGAGCGUGCGGUCGAUACGGGCAGACUUGAGUUCGGUAGGGGAGACUGGAAUUCCUGGUGUAGCGGUGAAAUGCGCAGAUAUCAGGAGGAACACCGGUGGCGAAGGCGGGUCUCUGGGCCGAAACUGACGCUGAGGAGCGAAAGCGUGGGGAGCAAACAGG